GAUGAACGCUGGCGGCGUGCCUAAUACAUGCAAGUAGAACGCUGAAGGAGGAGCUUGCUCUUCUGGAUGAGUUGCGAACGGGUGAGUAACGCGUAGGUAACCUGCCUGGUAGCGGGGGAUAACUAUUGGAAACGAUAGCUAAUACCGCAUGACAACAGUUAUUGCAUGAUAACUGUUUAAAAGGGGCAACUGCUCCACUACCAGAUGGACCUGCGUUGUAUUAGCUAGUUGGUGAGGUAACGGCUCACCAAGGCGACGAUACAUAGCCGACCUGAGAGGGUGAUCGGCCACACUGGGACUGAGACACGGCCCAGACUCCUACGGGAGGCAGCAGUAGGGAAUCUUCGGCAAUGGUCGGAAGUCUGACCGAGCAACGCCGCGUGAGUGAAGAAGGUUUUCGGAUCGUAAAGCUCUGUUGUAAGAGAAGAACGAGUGUGAGAGUGGAAAGUUCACACUGUGACGGUAUCUUACCAGAAAGGGACGGCUAACUACGUG
rnacentral:rRNA from 1 species